rnacentral:rRNA from 1 species
GACGAACGCUGGCGGCGUGCUUAACACAUGCAAGUCGAACGGAAAGGCUCCAGCUUGCUGGAGUACUCGAGUGGCGAACGGGUGAGUAACACGUGGGUAAUCUGCCCUGCACUCUGGGAUAAGCCUGGGAAACUGGGUCUAAUACUGGAUAUGACCUUUCUCCUUAUGGGGUUCGGUGGAAAGUUUUUCGGUGUAGGAUGAGCCCGCGGCCUAUCAGCUUGUUGGUGGGGUGAUGGCCUACCAAGGCGACGACGGGUAGCCGGCCUGGGAGGGUGAUCGGCCACAUUGGGACUGAGAUACGGCCCAGACUCCUACGGGAGGCAGCAGUGGGGAAUAUUGCACAAUGGGCGGAAGCCUGAUGCAGCGACGCCGCGUGAGGGAUGACGGCCUUCGGGUUGUAAACCUCUUUCAGCAGGGACGAAGCGUAAGUGGCGGUACCUGCAGAAGAAGCACCGGCUAACUAUGUG